AACGAACGCUGGCGGCAGGCUUAACACAUGCAAGUCGAGCGCCUCGCAAGAGGAGCGGCAGACGGGUGAGUAACGCGUGGGAAUCUACCCAUCUCUACGGAAUAACUCAGGGAAACUUGUGCUAAUACCGUAUACGCCCUUAGGGGGAAAGAUUUAUCGGAGAUGGAUGAGCCCGCGUUGGAUUAGCUAGUUGGUGGGGUAAAGGCCUAUCAAGGCGACGAUCCAUAGCUGGUCUGAGAGGAUGAUCAGCCACAUUGGGACUGAGACACGGCCCAAACUCCUACGGGAGGCAGCAGUGGGGAAUAUUGGACAAUGGGCGCAAGCCUGAGCCAGCCAUGCCGCGUGAGUGAUAAAGGCCCUAGGGUUGUAAAGCUCUUUCACCGGAGAAGAUAAUGACGGUAUCCGGAGAAGAAGCCCCGGCUAACUUCGUGCCAGCCGCCGCAGUAA
rnacentral:rRNA from 1 species